CAGCAUCUAUUGUACUUACAUCAUGCAGAUGACACUGGAGAAAAUAUCCCAUCCAUUCCUCUGAGAAAAUAACUUUGUACAUCGGGCGCAAGAUCCCAAUUUGCAAAGUUGGAACAUCGUGUGGUCCGGCUCUCCUCUAAUAUCAUCCAAUGCCACAGGUGCCUCCGUGAUAUCAGUGGUAUUUAUAGUUGCCUUGGUGAUGGGGAGCACUGCAGUCACGAACCUGGCCUGUCGUCAUGUCCUAUGCCCCACCUGGAGCAGGCUGCAUCCCGCUGUCCGAACGCCGCUGAGCACAGGGUGAUUAGUUGUAUAUAAGUAACAAAGCAAACGGAAAAUGCAGUACAGACAGGAAAUAAUAUAUAAGUCAAUGAACAUUGCAUGAAAUGCAGCGAUAAUGAAUGGCCAAAUGAUGCAAGAAACCAAUGUAUUGCCAAAGCUCAAGACUUUCUCUCAUAUGAAACGGACUCUCUAACCUCAGUGUUUGCUGUCACAGCUGCAAUAUUUUCUUCUACAGCUGUCCUCAUAGCUGGAAUAUUUAUUUUCUUCCAGAAAAGCCAAAUUGUCAGAGCUAAUAACCAGAACCUCAGCUUUAUUCUCCUCAUCUCUCUAAAGUUGAUCUUACUCGCAUCCUGUUGCAGAUCUGUUGUGGUCAAGACUAUUACACUGUAUGUUCUGUUCUGGCCAAGACUAUUACAGUUUGCAUCCCUUUUAAGGCCACUAAACUUGGAAGCUACUGGAGAAAAUGGAUGGGGGUCAAGCUACCAAAUACUUUAGUGUUGAUCUCCUCAUCUAUCCAGGUCCUGAAUGGUGUCAUCUAAUUGUCAGUUUCUCAUCCAUUUCAAGAGUUUGAUAUGGACACAUAUCCUGGGACUGUAAUCAUCCAAUGUAGUGAGGGUUCUGUGUUGGCCUUUUAUUUUAUGUUGGGUUACAUGGGAUUCCUGGCAGCUGUGAGCUUUGUUCUGACUUUCAGAGUGAGGACAUUACCUGACCUCUAUAAUGAGGUCAAUACAUCACUUUCAGCAUGCUGGUGUUCUGCAGUGUGUGGGUCUGUGCUAUUCUGGCCUAUCAGAGCAGUAAGGGGAAACAUAUGGUCAUUGUAGAGUUGUUUGCUAUAUUAGCCUCAUGUAUUGGGGUAUGAGACCUGAAAUAAACAAAAAAGAUCUCAUUCUCCAUAGAAAACACAAUUCCUCUUAAUAUGGUCUGAUAUCAUGUAACAUAAUAGAAACAGCUGAUGACACUGGGCCUGUUGUUUAGUUGUUCACUGUAAAAGUAACAUUAUUGCUUGCAGUAUAUGUAAGUCCUAAUACAUUAUGAGUUGUAUACAGUAUGUUCCACAUCAGAAGCAGAUGAGCUAGAAUUAUUUCAAGUACAAAAAUAGCACAUUUGUGUUCAGAUGUACAGUAGAUCUUUGUGUGACUGUCUGCAAUAGAUACAUAUGGAUUAUUUACAUCAGGUAUAUUCAUCCAAGCCAACCCAGUACCAAAAUCUCCCCAUAGCAUAAUUUCUGUUCUUUAAAAAAUAUACACUACUCACAAUUAUUAAUUAACUUAUAUGAACACCUUUUACAUUAACAUUCUGUUUUUGUUAUACUGCCUCAUUUAUCUUUUUUAUAUUAUUACCAGGUUAGAUUUGCUUAGUUAGAUAAAAAAUAUCCCUUCAUCAGGGCUGUCUUAAUAGCGGAAUAUUCCCCUGGGCAAAGCAAUUCACUGGGGCACCUACCCAUCCCCCAGUGGUAGGGAUGGGAGGUGCCAUCAGCGGCAGCUUUAAUGAGCCUUGGGUGUUCUGCCUUCCACUCAGCAUGUAGGGCCGGGAGCAGUAAUUUGGGCUGAAUGAAGGGUCCCAUGUACAUGACUCCUAGGGUGGUAAAGGGUGUUUAAUAUGUAGGGGAGGGGUGGACAGUGGAGCGGACUUAAUAUUCAUUAUUUUCCGUUGGGAGGGCUGCUUGCUUAACUGCAAAUAUUUCCAGAUCCUGGAAAUAUAUGUAUUUAUUUUCAAUGGAAUAAAAUACUAGAGAGUCCCAUGUUUCAGGAAUUAGUAGGGACUUGGAGAUCAGAGUGUAGGAGCCAGAGCAAACCACCAAUGAAUAUUUAAAACUGCAUACCAGGCAUGUGGAGCUGGAGCAGGGACCAGCAGCUAGAAGGAGGAUAGAUCUGGUUCUGGGAAUAAUAGAGAAAAGCUGCCAGUGUCCACCAAAAGAGUAGAGUCACAGGUUUUGGAGAAUACCGUCAGAAAAACUCAAACUCAGAUAGAACCUGAGAUAUCUUGCAUGGAAAAGCAAUUAACAGGCUCAGAUAAGGACCAAUGCUUUGAAGUUUGAUAUCUCCGGUUCCCCAAGGGCAAUUUUCAAAAAUCUGCUUCCACUGGUAAAAGGGGACCCUCAGCUAUCAGCAUAAAGCCCUUGUACUCCUGGGGCCCUUAAGCAACUGCCCUUUGAGCUCAUAUGAGAAGAUAGCCCUUUUCAUCAUUGUUUUCAUAAUCACACAAGUUAUUGUCUGCAACUCAUCACAUACUGUAUGCACUAUGUUAUUUGUUUAGGAUCUAUUCAUUUAAUUCUAUUGACCCAGUACUAUGCAAAGUCUAUGCUCACAGAACACCACAUUAUUAGAAUUUGAGGCAUUUUUAUAGUGUUGGCAUUUUUUUAUGUACUGUAAACUCAUAUUAAA